GAGAACGGAGUCGGAUCUUCUGCUUCGUGUUCCUAUGACUUCAGCUGCUGGGAUGUGCUGUGAUUGAAGGAUCUGCCCUGCUGUUACACACACUCACACACUCGUCGUGGGAUCUCACACAUACACACACACACACUCGUCUCAGCAUGCUGGCUCUCCUGUUGUGUGCUCUGCUGGCUCUUCACGCUGACGCUCUUGACGUCCCGUGUCCAGAAUCCCCUGGCGGUG